rnacentral:lncRNA from 1 species
CGGAGAGAUAGAAUAUCAGCCAAACUACACAAAUGCUGGUAGUGGUUAAAAUUGCCCUUAGGCGCAAGCCAAAAGCUAGGAAGAGCACAAAUGUUUGCUGUCGAUGUCUUCCUCAAAGAAACUUACAAUUGGAGACGGUUCCCACGUUUUCGCCUAAUGCGCAGCGGUUAAUGAUGACAUUGCGAAAGGUUGAGCUAAAUUUAGACAAAGAUCCUAAUUUUGGAAACAUCUUUACAUUACCUUGGCUUGCUCAGCAGGCCUCUAGCUGAUACUUAUCAUCAACGAAAAUCUCUCAAGAGGCGAAUUUUCUCGUGUUGCAUAUUUCUUGUUUAAAAAAAAACAGACAAUUGAAAGACAAUGGAAUGAAUUGUGCUUUUAAUGCUUGAAUGCCUGAGCUGUUUAAUUCUUUACCAGUUACUGUUUCUCAAGGAUGAAACGAAUGAAAAGCUGGUGAGUGUGCGCGACAUGAACAACUGAGUAAUACAAGUAGGAGGGCUCCGCAUUUUGCACGUUUGAGGCAUAGUUAGAGAAUCAACUGUUUCUUGUCAAAUUUUAAAUUUAACAGAUUUAGAACCAGAUUAUUGGGGUGGAAGUGAAGAAUUAUUAUCCUUCCUAUGCGAAUGCUUCAAUCAUUAUCUCAAUUGCGAGUACUCAUGUCCUGUUCAUAUUUCAUUGAAAGGGAAUUAGUGUUGUUCUUUACUUCCUAACUGGGCAUAUCCCAUAAGUGAAAGCUGCUUAGCUACAUCCUCAAGGAAAAUAAUGAUGUGGCAUUUUUUGACAUUUGUUUUAGGGAAUAGAGUAAACCACCUCUUGGGGUGAGCGUCAAGUGGAUUAACUAAUUGACGGUGUUUGCGCCAUUUGUGGUGUGGCCAACUUGAAAUGCCGAGUCAUUUCGAGCUAAAGCAUUCUUGUGUGUACUAAAUCGUUGGGACUAUUUAACAUCUUCCUUCUCAUCCGCCCGCGACACUUGAUUUGAAUUUUCCUGGAUUUCCGCAAAUUCCUACGCAUGACACAUAAAUAACCGUGACGACAUUGAGAUAUGGAAGACAUAGGAGAAGAUAUAUACCGAAUUAAGAUACAAAGACUUUAAUCUUCUUCCCGCUGUAGUUUCGUGUUUUUUGGGGCAGUUUGCGUUACCAGGCAAACAAGGAAAGUCUGAUUCGAUAAGGAUCAUUUUGGACAAAGCACAAAUUACCGUUUCAAUAUUGCACUGUUUUGUUAUUUUGUCAAUGUGUACUUACUUGAUCCGCUACAGUCUUCUUUACAGUAAACUGUUCUCAUCUUUUGAACUUAAAUCUCGUUAGAAAAGUUCUAGAAAGGAAAAAGUUCUUCUUGCCUCUCUAAACAUCAUGCGUUGGUGGUGACACCCAAUGCCUCUCAUUCUACUUCCAUUGCUAAUGGACUUACUCACUGCACUAAUAGCGCGAAGGCGGGGUUUGCCAAUGAGCUAAGAGAACUGUAUAAUUUGAUAAGCCUUGGGGCGAUAUUGAGUCAUUUCAUCCGAAAUUAAACCAAACCAUUAAAGACAUUUUUGAGUCUGAGCAAAGGUGGCUGUCGGUAUCGCAGUCAAGAACGGCAAGAAACUUCAGUCAGUUGUAAUGUAAAAGAGAUAUUGACUCAUUGCAGUUAGUUUCUAAUAUAUAAUCCAAUCAAAAGAAAAAAUAACCUGGAGACACCAAAAUUAGAUCCAAAUUAGAAAUGCAAGUUUAAUUGCACCGUUGUUUUCCGCUCUACAAGUUGUGGGUUUUUUAUCGAAAUCUCCUUCGUCAUUAUUUCCUUUUCAAUCAGUAUUAACUUUCAGCACAUGCAUGCGGACUACUCCUGCCGAAACGUUACUGAUCUUCCUUGAGGUUGCGCUAAAACAUACAAAAGGAGUUGAAAUUAAACACGUGCUUAAGCCGGAUAUUCCCUUCGCAAAAGUUCACUCUAGCUGAUGGUUACUCGAUCGUGUGUGUCCAAGGCUGACCAAAUCCCAGUUUUAUAUUAUUAGGCUAAUGGCCUUGCCUCUUCAUUACGCAGCCAGACGUAAAGCUUAAUUUGCUUAAAUGAUUUCAAUCCAUUGCCUGAGGAGCUUGAAACUAAUGAAAGUCAUAGCAUUUAUUUUACAUCUCAUCACAAAGAAACAAUAAAACUGUCUACGGUUGCACAUUCCAUAAAUUUGUGACUGAAAAAUUUUGAUCAUGAGACUGAAGGCAAGUGUCUUAAGUACAACUGAUCCUUUCAAUCCAAAGAUCAAACUUUGAAUUCUCCAUUAUGACUUCAAUAUAAUUUUUCUUAUGUUCGAAAUGAGAAUUUUUGGCUCCCUGUCUAAUCUUGGGUCAGCUGCUUGACGCCGAUGUCUCCAUUGAUAUUGAAAGGCAAACUUACAUACUGAUCUCUUUUUGUAGUGAAGGGGUUGAGUAUUGCAUCUCAAUUGAAUGUUGUUGCACCGAUCAAGGAAUUGUUUUCUACGAAAAUAAGUUGCUUAUUCGCGAACUCCAGCUUGUACAGUCGGUUGUAGACAGAAAAUUUUUUCGUCCAAUAAAACUCCUCAAGCAGUUUGAUCAUGUUAUGGAAAGGGCAUUGGUAAAACUUUCACCAAUUGAAUGUAUUAUUCUCAUUUAAAAGACGGUUUGUUGUAUUAAUGAAAUCAAACGCGUGUCUCUCCAUCCCAAAAAGACCACAAGACGCAAAUAUUGGUUAGAACAUGAUGUGGUUGGAACACCAAUAGGAUGUCUUAUCACGUUCUCUUACGUUCAAACGAUACCAGGCGUCAACUUGCUGACCUGGUACAUGCUGAGAAAAAAAAUUUGAACAAUAGCAGCUCGACACCGGAUCCGACACACGUUAUCUCCUAAUGGGAAGCUUUCUACAUGUUACACGAGUUUCCGAGAUGUUAUCGCGCUUAACGAAGGAGGAUAGUGAACAGAAUAAAGCAAAUCAACAGGGAAGUCUAUAGACAGUGAA